UCCUGUUUUUUUGUUUGUUCACCUCCUUUCCAUGCCUACGAUCGUAGAUUUGGGGUUUUGGGACCUUGUCUUCUGUUCAAGCCUUCCUUCUCCUCUCUCGCUCCCUUGAAUGGCAUCGACCACCGACUGAGUUUCCCUUCUUCCGAUCUGUUUCGCGAUGACUCUUCUCCUUCCGAUUUGCUACUUCUUGCGCGCAAGGAGAGAAGACGGCCCCUGAUCGAUAGUGGUCAUCACUGACGUCAAAAGCGAUGACAAUCUGGCUGCACUGGCAGUUCUCAAGGAAUACUAUUGGUUGGGGCUUGUUGAAUUGCGUGCCGUGAUAGCCAACCGGAUGACAACAGACAACAGACAAGAAGACGAAUGUAUGAGCCUGGGAAAGCCCUCCUCCGUCAUGAAUUGAAAUGCCAACCUUAUUGUUUUGUACGAGGACUGAAUCACGGCUCUGGACUGCUUACUGUGUGUGUGGUGGCCGAGCUUGGAAUUGGAAGCUAGCAAACCUUUGACUCAGUGAUGGAUAGCAUGGAAAUCGAGCUUGGAAGCGAGCUGCUUAAGAACAGCUUGUGUAGGGAAUGUGAGUUCAGAUCAGGCGACUUCCUAAAAUAUUUCAAAAAUCAAGGAGGUCUGGUUUCAAGCGAGCCGGUCAGAUAGUGGGGGUUACAUGACCUUAUGAGAACAGCGAGGGAGUGUCGAUUCUGUUCUUUGGCGCUAAAAGCUGUAAGCAUAGUCCGUGCAGCCGAGGAUCUGCAGUCUGCUUCGGCCGUGUGCUCUAUGACUGUCGAAGCACUUGGUCACACUCA